rnacentral:rRNA from 1 species
AUACGUAGGGGGCGAGCGUUGUCCGGAUUUACUGGGCGUAAAGGGUGAGUAGGCGGUUAUAUAUGUCAGGUGUAAAAGGCUAUGGCUUAACUAUAGUAAGCACUUGAAACUGUAUGACUUGAGUGCAGGAGAGGUAAGUGGAAUUCCUAGUGUAGCGGUGAAAUGCGUAGAUAUUAGGAGGAACACCAGUGGCGAAGGCGACUUACUGGACUGUAACUGACGCUGAGUCACGAAAGCGUGGGUAGCAAACAGGAUUAGAUACCCUGGUAGUCCACGCUGUAAACGAUGAGUGCUAGGUGUUGGGUAGCGAUAUUCAGUGCCGCAGCAAACGCAUUAAGUGUACCGCCUGGGGAGUAUGCUCGCAAGGGUGAA